rnacentral:tRNA from 1 species
GGAGAGAUGGCUGAGUUGGUUGAAGGCGCACGACUCGAAAUCGUGUUAGGCUAAUACCCUACGAGGGUUCGAAUCCCUCUCUCUCCGCCA